CUCUCUCACUCUCGGUCUCUGGAGCACCCCUGGGGGGGGAGGGCUGGGACGAGGCAGGGGGAGGAAGGAAUGGGGAGACGGGCAGGGACACUGGGGUGCACCCCCUUCCCUGGAGGUCUAGAGACCCUGCUCUGCAAUUCAGAAUAUCCCCGGCCCAGUGGACAGACAGCUGUUGACGUGACCCCUGGCCCAGUGGACACACAGCUGUAGACGUGACCCCCGUCCCAGUGGACACACAGCUGUAGACGUGACCCCCGUCCCAGUGGGCAGACAGCUGUAGACGUGACCCCCGUCCCAGUGGGCAGACGGCCGUUGACGUGACCCCCGUCCCAGUGGACAGACAGCUGUUGACGUGACCCCCGGCCCUGUGGACAGACAGCUCUAGAAGUGACCCCCCGGCCCAGUGGACAGACAGCUCUAGAAGUGACCCCCCAGCCCAGUGGACAGACAGCUCUAGACGUGACCCCCCAGCCCAGUGGACAGACAGCUCUAGACGUGACCCCCGGCCCAGUGGACAGACAGCUGUUGACGUGACCCCCGGCCCAGUGGACUGGCUGCCCCGGUGGUGACUCUCGGCGGCCGUGCAGGAGGCCCUGUGGCGCUGACCGCUCCCCCGUGUCCUGGCAGGUGGCUGUGCAGAAGCAGUGCGUGGAGAAGGAGCUGGCCGCGGCGCAGGGGAAGGCCCAGUGGGCGGACAGGGAGCUGCAGGCCAGCCAGCGGCACGAGAGGGAGCUGCAGGCCCGGCUGGAGGAGGCGCUGCGGGAGAGGGACGCCGCGGGGGCCGGCCUGGAGCAGAGCCGCAGGAAGGCGCGGGCGCUGGAGGAGCAGGCGGGGGCGCUGGCGCAGGAGCUGGCCGCCGCGACGAAGCUCCUGGCCGAGCUGGAAGGUGAGCGCCGCUGGGAGGACGGGGGGGCUAGCGGGGGCGGGGGGCGUUUCAUGUUCGGGAGCCCAGAGGUCCGAGGAUCUGGCCCCUCCGAGCCCGGGAGCCCAGAGGUCCGGGGAUCUGGCCCCUCCGAGCCCGGGAGCCCAGAGGUCCGGGGAUCUGGCCCCUCCGAGCCCGGGAGCCCAGAGGUCCGAGGAUCUGGCCCCUCCGAGCUGGGAAGUGGAGAGAUCCUAGGAUCUGGCCCCUCCGAGCCCGGGAGCCCGGAGGUCCGGGGAUCUGGCCCCUUCACUGCCGGUGGGGAAGGAAGGGUUUCUGGGAGGCUGGCUGUGCAGAAGCGGCUCGUGUCCCCUGAGCAGCCCAGCCCGUGACCCCGAGGGAGCGCGUGCUCGCUGCUCUCUCUCUCCGCGCCCGUGACUCGUCCCGCUGGCCCGGGGUCGCCACGUGAGCGCCGCGGCCUUGCCGGGGUGUGUCUGCUGCCACCCGGUGGCCACGAGGGGAACCAGAA
rnacentral:lncRNA from 1 species